UGAGGAAUAUUGGUCAAUGGGCGGGAGCCUGAGCCAGCCAAGCCGCGUGAGGGAAGAAGGCCCUAUGGGUCGUAAACCUCUUUUGUCAGGGAACAAAAGCGAGUAUGUAUACUAGUCUGAGUGUACCUGAAGAAAAAGCAUCGGCUAACUCCGUGCCAGCAGCCGCGGUAAUACGGAGGAUGCGAGCGUUAUCCGGAUUUAUUGGGUUUAAAGGGUGCGUAGGCGGCGGUGCAAGUCAGCGGUAAAAGCCCGGGGCUCAACCCCGGCGAGCCGUUGAAACUGCAGUGCUAGAGAAGGCGAGAGGUACGCGGAAUGCGCAGUGUAGCGGUGAAAUGCUUAGAUAUUGCGCAGAACUCCGAUUGCGAAGGCAGCGUACUGGCGCCUGACUGACGCUGAGGCACGAAAGCGUGGGGAUCGAACAGGAUUAGAUACC
rnacentral:rRNA from 1 species